rnacentral:rRNA from 1 species
CGGCGGACGGGUGAGUAACACGUGGAUAACCUACCUAUAAGACUGGGAUAACUUCGGGAAACCGGAGCUAAUACCGGAUAAUAUAUUGAACCGCAUGGUUCAAUAGUGAAAGACGGUUUUGCUGUCACUUAUAGAUGGAUCCGCGCCGCAUUAGCUAGUUGGUAAGGUAACGGCUUACCAAGGCAACGAUGCGUAGCCGACCUGAGAGGGUGAUCGGCCACACUGGAACUGAGACACGGUCCAGACUCCUACGGGAGGGCAGCAGCG